AGCGAAGAAUGGGAUGAGGUUCCACGCCCGGGACCCUGGCGCUUAAAGGUGACGCAGUUCUUUGCUAGGGCUCGUAAAGAAUCUUUUCUUUGCUAUUCCAAAACGGUGAGAGAUUUUCUGUGCUUUUGUUAUAGUACAACUCAAACCCGUAUCAAUACAACACACUGUGGAGUUUUCAUAUCUUUGCAACUUUCUCUCUGGGCAUUCGAGCUAUCGGGGCCCAGAGGUCACAAACACACACAAUUUUAUCUAUUCAUUAAAUUUUUGUCAAAAACAAGCAUUUUCGUAACUGGAGAUUUUAUCAUAUUAAGCACUUUCAACAACGGAUCUCUUGGUUCUCGCAUCGAUGAAGAACGCAGCGAGAUGCGAUACGUAAUGUGAAUUGCAGAAUUCCGUGAAUCAUCGAAUCUUUGUACGCACAUUGCGCCCCUUGGUAUUCCAGGGGGCAUGCCUGUUUGAGCGUCAUUUCCUUACUCAAACAUUCUGUCUUGGUAGUGAGUGAUACUCUUUGGAGUUAACUUGAAAUUGCUGGCCUUUUCAUUGUGAUGUUUUUUUUCCAAAGAGAGGUUUCUCUGCGUGCUCGAGGUAUAAUGCAAGUACGGUCGUUCUUAGGUUUUACCAACUUGCGGCUUAUAUCUGUCUUUCUAUACUGAGCGUAUGUGUAACGUUAUCGAUCACAGAAGAGAGCGUAUAGGCGAACAAUGUUCUUAAAGUUUGACCUCAAACUCAUGGUAGGA
rnacentral:misc_RNA from 1 species